UGUGUUGAUAAAAAAGGAGAGAGAGGAAGGGAGAGUGGGAAGGAAUAAGAAAAAAAGAAGGGAAAAUCAUCAGAAAGAAAAAGAAAAGAAAAGAAGAAGAGAGGAAUCAUGUGUUUGUGAAGCAUAUGAUCAAGUUGGAAUUGAAUCGGAUAUUGAGCUAUUCAGGUGAACAGGUAGCUGUGGAGGACGGGGUCGAGAAAGGUGAAUACUAUCUUUGGAUUGAGUGAGUAUUUUCUGAAUAAUCUAUAGGAUACUAGGAAAUGUAGUUACAGAUGUUUACUUUUGGGUUUAUUUUGCUACGGUGAAUUAUGUGAUUGUAUCUUUCAGUAGUUAUGAACUUGAGUAUCUUUUUGUGUUGGGUUCAUGGCAUAUCAAACUUUAUUUUCAUGUGAAAUUUUGUAAACAAAGACCUUGUUUAAGUAAUGUAUAAUCUUGUAUUAAUUCAUGCUUAUCAGUGUAAUACAUCUAUAAAGUUUUGUGAUUGGAUGCUUACUUUAAAAUGAAAA